rnacentral:misc_RNA from 1 species
GAUGAAGAACGCAGCGAAAUGCGAUACGUAAUGUGAAUUGCAGAAUUCAGUGAAUCAUCGAGUCUUUGAACGCACAUUGCGCCCCCUGGUAUUCCGGGGGGCAUGCCUGUCCGAGCGUCAUUGCUGCCCUCAAGCACGGCUUGUGUGUUGGGCCCCGUCCCCUCCCCCGGGGACGGGCCCGAAAGGCAGCGGCGGCACCGCGUCCGAUCCUCGAGCGUAUGGGGCUUUGUCACCCGCUCUGUAGGCCCGGCCGGCGCCAGCCGACACCCAACUUUUAUUUCUAAGGUUGACCUCGGAUCAGGUAGGGAUACCCGCUGAACUUAAGCAUAUCAAUAAGCGGAGGA